AUUGAACGCUGGCGGCAGGCCUAACACAUGCAAGUCGAGCGGAGAGGCGGACGGGUGAGUAAUGUAUGGGGAUCUGCCCGAUAGAGGGGGAGAACUACUGGAAACGGUAGCUAAUACCGCAUAUGCUCGGAUGAACCCAUAUGGGAUUAGCUAGUAGGUGGGGUAAUGGCUCACCUAGGCGACGAUCCCUAGCUGGUCUGAGAGGAUGAUCAGCCACACUGGGACUGAGACACGGUCCAGACUCCUACGGGAGGCAGCAGUGGGGAAUAUUGGACAAUGGGCGAAAGCCUGAUCCAGCCAUGCCGCGUGUGUGAAGAAGGUCUUCGGAUUGUAAAGCACUUUAAGUUGGGAGGCGUUACCAACAGAAUAAGCACCGGCUAACUUCGUGCCAGCAGCCGCGGUAAUAC
rnacentral:rRNA from 1 species